ACCACUCCCAGGUUUCGUCACUUCAUUCCCACCCCAGGAACAUCACUGUCCAUGAUGGCAGUCUGCCCGGCAAUCUGGCCUGUUCCCAAGACUGGCGUUUCACUCCUCGAUUGCACCUGUAACCAAACUUGGUGAUCUCCUGCAACUGCUCUACCUCUGGUUUCUCCUAACAUACUACCCACAGCAACCUCAAACAAUGAAGUUUUGUACCAUUAUAGAGUCCUCUUAUUGGAAUGGAUUAGAGGGGAAGGAAGAAACUUAAUAAUUUUGUUGUAAGGAUUACAAAUACACCUACAUGAUAAAUUGGGGGCCGGGGAGGAUGGUCCUAAUGUGGUAACUUGGGUCAAACUUGCCAGUGAGUCAGACAUGUAUUUGAGAAGUGCUGCAUCUCAGACAGCUUAGAUGCAAGUGAAGGAGAUACACUUUGAGAAAUGGACUGUAGAUACCAUGAAGACGUUGAUGUCCAAGAUGCAUG
rnacentral:lncRNA from 1 species